AGCGUACGCUGGCGGCAGGCCUAACACAUGCAAGUCGAACGAAGUCUUCGGACUUAGUGGCGGACGGGUGAGUAACACGUGGGAACGUACCUUUUGGUUCGGAACAACUCAGGGAAACUUGAGCUAAUACCGGAUGAGCCCUUAGGGGGAAAGAUUUAUCGCCGAAAGAGCGGCCCGCGUUAGAUUAGCUAGUUGGUGAGGUAAAGGCUCACCAAGGCUACGAUCUAUAGCUGGUCUGAGAGGAUGAUCAGCCACACUGGGACUGAGACACGGCCCAGACUCCUACGGGAGGCAGCAGUGGGGAAUCUUGCGCAAUGGGCGAAAGCCUGACGCAGCCAUGCCGCGUGAAUGAUGAAGGUCUUAGGAUUGUAAAAUUCUUUUACCAGGGAUGAUAAUGACGGUACCUGGAGAAAAAGCCCCGGUUAACUUCGUGCCAGCCGCCGCAGUAACAC
rnacentral:rRNA from 1 species